GACGAACGCUGGCGGCGUGCUUAACACAUGCAAGUCGAACGGAAAGGCCCUGCUUUUGUGGGGUGCUCGAGUGGCGAACGGGUGAGUAACACGUGAGUAACCUGCCCUUGACUUUGGGAUAACUUCAGGAAACUGGGGCUAAUACCGGAUAGGAGCUCCUGCUGCAUGGGGGGGGUUGGAAAGUUUCGGCGGUUGGGGAUGGACUCGCGGCUUAUCAGCUUGUUGGUGGGGUAGUGGCUUACCAAGGCUUUGACGGGUAGCCGGCCUGAGAGGGUGACCGGCCACAUUGGGACUGAGAUACGGCCCAGACUCCUACGGGAGGCAGCAGCGGGGAAUAUUGCACAAUGGGCGGAAGCCUGAUGCAGCAACGCCGCGUGCGGGAUGACGGCCUUCGGGUUGUAAACCGCUUUCGCCUGUGACGAAGCGUGAGUGACGGUAAUGGGUAAAGAAGCACCGGCUAACUACGUG
rnacentral:rRNA from 1 species